rnacentral:rRNA from 1 species
UACAGGGGGUGCAAACGUUGCUCGGAAUUAUUGGGCGUAAAGCGCACGUAGGCGGUUUGUUAUGUCGGAUGUGAAAGCCCUUGGCUCAACUGAGGAAGUGCAUCCGAAACUGGCAAGCUAGAGUAUGUAAGAGGGUCGCGGAAUUCCCGGUGUAGAGGUGAAAUGCGUAGAUAUCGGGAGGAACACCAGUGGCGAAGGCGACUUCCUGGCCUGUUCUUGACGCUGAGGCGCGAAAGCUAGGGGAGCAAACGGG